GAUGAACGCUGGCGGCGUGCCUAAUACAUGCAAGUCGAGCGAACGGACGAGAAGCUUGCUUCUCUGAUGUUAGCGGCGGACGGGUGAGUAACACGUGGAUAACCUACCUAUAAGACUGGGAUAACUUCGGGAAACCGUAGCUAAUACCGGAUAAUAUUUUGAACCGCAUGGUUCAAAAGUGAAAGACGGUCUUUCUGUCACUUAUAGAUGGAUCCGCGCUGCAUUAGCUAGUUGGUAAGGUAACGGCUUACCAAGGCAACGAUGCAUAGCCGACCUGAGAGGGUGAUCGGCCACACUGGAACUGAGACACGGUCCAGACUCCUACGGGAGGCAGCAGUAGGGAAUCUUCCGCAAUGGGCAAAAGCCUGACGGAGCAACGCCGCGUGAGUGAUGAAGGUCUUCGGAUCGUAAAACUCUGUUAUUAGGGAAGAACAUAUGUGUAAGUAACUGUGCACAUCUUGACGGUACCUAAUCAGAAAGCCACGGCUAACUACGUG
rnacentral:rRNA from 1 species